GGAGGGAUGCCAGAGCGGACGAAUGGGACGGUCUCGAAAACCGUUGAGGCCUUCGGGUCUCCGUGGGUUCAAAUCCCACUCCCUCCGCCA
rnacentral:tRNA from 1 species